rnacentral:rRNA from 1 species
UACGAAGGGGGCUAGCGUUGCUCGGAAUUACUGGGCGUAAAGGGCGCGUAGGCGGAUACUUAAGUUAGAGGUGAAAGCCCAGGGCUCAACCCUGGAAUAGCCUUUAAUACUGGGUAUCUUGAGUUCGGGAGAGGUGAGUGGAACUCCGAGUGUAGAGGUGAAAUUCGUAGAUAUUCGGAAGAACACCAGUGGCGAAGGCGACUCACUGGCCCGAUACUGACGCUGAGGCGCGAAAGCGUGGGGAGCAACAGG